GCCCUACCCCCCCUAUACCACCCCUGUCCCCCAUACUGUUCCUAUCCCCCCAACAUAACCCCAGUCUUGAUAUUUUAAUUAGUUUUGGAGCGUUUUGAUAGUUUUAAAUUUAAUGCAACUUAGAGUUGGUAUGAAUUAUUUAUAAUGCUGCUAACACACUCAAUGUGCUGUACCCCCAACAUAGAAAGCAAAAUCAAAUGAAAAAAGUAUAUAAAUAAAAGCGAAGCAGUAUAAAAUGAACGUUUAGUUGAUAAACCCAAAACCUAAGUAUAAAUUGUGAAAAUUUUUAAAAUGUUGUAAUAAUACUCAAUAGUCAGUAGAUGGCGCCAAGUUGACACAUCUCACAGCCCAUGUGUAGAAAAUGCAUAAAUACACAUAAUUGUGCAGAUUGCUUUAAAUGAAUAAUGCUUAUAACAUCAUAUAUUAAUAUACCAAGAUUCCCAUAAAAUUACCCAGAUAAUUAUGUUAAGGAAAUCAGGUUUCAGUGAUAUAAUGAUAAAGCUCUGUUAUAUUAACAAAGUGCAAACAAAUUUAUUAUAAACUCAGUGAUGAUAAAAGAGAAACAGACUGUCUCUUACAAGAGAACACGGUGAGUCGGCUCGGCAUACGCCGUUACUCACUGCCAAGCUUUGUUCAAAAUGUAUCUAGUAGUGGAGCUGGAGACACUGGCUCUGGAUAGCUGUAAUGUCCGGAAUGCAGUGAUCCGGCUUCAGUGCAGCACGAGCGAUAUGAGUCUGGUAUUUCUGAGCUCCUGUAGUCUCCGCCCCCUUAACCCCAGUCCCGCACAAUACUGUCCCUAAUCCUCCUCCCACCAUAGCCUUUGUCCCCCACAAUACUGCCCUUACCCCCCCUCCCACCAUAAGCCCAGUCUGUACAAUACUGUCCCUGUCCCAACAUAGCCCACACAAUACUGUCCCUAAUCCCCCUCCCACCAUAGCCUUUGUCCCCCACAAUACUGCCCCUAACCACCCUCCCACCACAGCCACUGUCCCCCACAAUACUGUCCUUAUCCUCCCUCCCACCAUAAGCCCAGUCUAUAUAAUAC